rnacentral:rRNA from 1 species
GACAGAGGGUGCAAGCGUUGUUCGGAAUUAUUGGGCGUAAAGCGCGUGUAGGCGGCCGUGCAAGUCGGGUGGUGAAAGCCCUCGGCUCAACCGAGGAAGUGCGCCCGAAACUGCAUGGCUUGAGUACCGGAGAGGAUGGCGGAAUUCCCCAAGUAGAGGUGAAAUUCGUAGAUAUGGGGAGGAACACCGGGUGGCGAAGGCGGCCAUCUGGACGGAUACGUGACGCUGAGACGCGAAAGCGUGGGGAGCAAACAGG